ACACCCUGGAUGGAAAAAGUGCGAGCUGGGCUUGAGUGACAGAGAAGCUAGCUGGUUUGGGGACAGUGGGCUUCAGAUUGUUAGGACUUGAACUUGAAAAUUGUGGUGAUCUUGAACAUCCAUUUCUCAAUCACAGAAGCACAAAAAGGUUCUUGAAAGCAAUGACAAAAAAGUUCAAGGAUGAACAGAAUUCUGUUGAAACUAUAAAGUUCAAGAGAAGUAGAGUGGGUUGUAGAUGGAGGCUGAGGGAUAAAGCAUAGGACAAUCGACAAUUGUGCGAUCUGCUCUGUGGGAAUAUGGCCGUGGCUGCUUGCGAUGGGCCCUGAUUUAUUUUGGCUGUAGAAGGACUGAUGCCACCAGCGACUUGCUGGCUCCAGGGGGCUGAAACCUUAUAAG